ensembl:lincRNA 4933407E24Rik RIKEN cDNA 4933407E24 gene
GAAGUGGGCACAGGGACCCAGCUCUAUAUUUCCAUCCCAUGCUGUCCCAAGACUCACAACAAGUUCCUGUGACCUCUCAAACUAUGCGAGGGGCCGGCAAACACGAACAGAGGGGUCUGGUCUUCCUAAGACACCACCAACACUGUGAGAAGGGGCCCAGAGGAGCGGCCACACCAUUCCCGGAGCUUGCCGAGAGACUCCGACACUGGUGUCAGUGGGAAUUCUGAAGCUCCCGGCACAUGAGCUCAUGCGUGGCCGAGUGCCCAGCCCUGUGCUUCACGGCUUUGGAAUGUGUUUUCUAGGCUGGCCUGCCUUGCUCCCCCCAUCUCACCACAGCAAGGGCUGCUGUCUGCUCUCGGCUCUUCAAAGCCAGGCAAAUUCCAGAAAGGCUAUUAAUUUGCACUGGUGUGCGAUGCUGUCCCAGGCAAAAUUCUCCCUGAGGUCUCUUGCAAGCAGCGAAUAUGACCAGAAGGACACAGGCUGAGAAGAGGGGAUGGCCCUUCUGGCCCUGGCUCGGCACUGGCUCAGAGAGAGACAGGACCAUUGCCUCUCCCCAGUCUCCAGCCCUUGUCACUUCACCUGGCCCACAGUCAACCCCAGGAAAUGAGCAAGCGAAUGGAGGGCUGGAUGGAGGACUAUUAUCACCUCUCCAAGGGACCUCUGGGUCGUGUCCCUGCCACCCAGCUGUAUCUAAGCACUGGUAUCACGGCAGCGCCACUGGUCCUUUUUGGAUGAAUGCAGUCUAUGUAAUAGAUCGCACACACAGAGAGCACACCUCCCUCUGUCUGCUACCACUGAAGCACUCAACGAUCAGAUCACACCGUGUGUGAUGCCCUCCCCUCCCCCGUGGGGUGCCGAGGGAGAGCAGAGUUGGUUUUGAGAUGACCUUUUCCGUCUUCCCUUAGUAGUCUAUGAGAAUUUUAAGGCCAGAGGAUGGUCAUGGAGAGUGUGCAGAGAGCGAAGGGGAGG